UGCCCCAUAGGGUCACAGGUAUUUCUA
rnacentral:piRNA from 1 species